CCCUUCUGGAGUUUGGCAGAGGGGGGUGGAAUUCCACGUGUAGCAGUGAAAUGCGUAGAGAUGUGGAGGAACACCAAUGGCGAAGGCAGCCCCCUGGGUCGAUACUGACGCUCAUGCACGAAAGCGUGGGUAGCAAACAGGAUUAGAUACCCUGGUAGUCCACGCCCUAAACGAUGUCAACUAGGUGUUGGGAGGGUAAAACCUUUUAGUGCCGUAGCUAACG
rnacentral:rRNA from 1 species